rnacentral:rRNA from 1 species
GCGGUGGAGCAUGUGGUUAAUUCGAUGCAACGCGAAGAACCUUACCUGGGCUUGACAUCCCGGGAAUCCCUUGGAAACAAGGGAGUGCCCUUCGGGGAACCUGGAGACAGGUGCUGCAUGGCUGUCGUCAGCUCGUGUCGUGAGAUGUAGGGUUAAGUCCCGCAACGAGCGCAACCCUCGUCGCUAGUUGUUUCUCUAGCGAUACUGCCCGUAUAACGUGGAGGAAGGUGGGGAUGACGUCAAGUCAGCAUGGCCCUUACAUCCUGGGCUACACACACGCUACAAUGGGUGAUACAACAGGUUGCGAUAGAGUAAUCUGGAGCCAAUCCCUAAAAUCAUCCUCAGUACGGAUUGCAGGCUGCAACUGCCUGCAUGAAGUUGGAGUUGCUAGUAAACGCAGGUCAGCACACUGCGUUGAAUACGUUCUCGGGCCUU